UUAUCUACUUUAUAAAGUUGUUCUGAUAAUUUUUAAAAAGCUAGUGUAGGUGAAGUGCAUAAUAAGUUAUUUGUAAGCAGACAAAUGAGGUCAGAGCAGUAGCUGGUUUGGAAUUGUGACCCUAUUUUCUUGAGAUUACUCUGCUACUCUAUAAACAUAAAUAAUCACUAGUUUCAUAAUGAAACCGUUUUCAUACCUUCCAUGACCCUCGACCUGGUUAGUCCUAUUAAAUAAGAUUUGUGUUCUAGACUUGCUCUUGUUUGGUUGGGCAAUGUCUGUUUACUCCCAUACACCUGUAUAAAAAAAAAAUUAAAACAAAUAUCCUUCUAAUUUACCUAUAGUUUUUUCUUUUAUUGAUUGUAUCAAACAUUUAAGUUUUCAGAAGACAAUCUAGUAAGAAGAGACAGCACAUAUUUUGAGGUUAUUUGGAGGUACAAUAAAAGAAUAGCUAAGAUGAUGAGAACUGUAGGUGGGGUAUAGGGAGGCAUGACAGAGAUCAAUGCUUCCAAAUUGUUUUCACUGCAGGGCAAAUACAGGAAAUGGUGAAGUUGUUUGUAAAUCAUUGUAUGUGCAAAGAGUCUAGUGACAGGAUAAAAUGUUUAUGAGUUUCUUAGUAGGAAAAGUAGAAUAUACAUUGUGGAGUUAAUACUUUGUGUGUCCAUUGGGCUUAAUACCUUUUAUGUCCAUUUGCUCAAUCCCUGUUUCUUUUCUUUAGGUGACAACAGAUUCAAGAGUGUUAGCUAUUUAUUUAGUUAGUUUUCAGCUUUGCUGCAGUGUAAUUGACAGAGGCACUAUACUUGACACUGGCCUUGGAACUGAGAAGAUAAACAAGAUCAUGUCAAUGUCUUCUAAAGAUAAAAGAAAAAUCCAAAUGAUAUCAGGGUGAGAUCAUUUAUUUUUCUAUAGAGGAAAUAGAACAGCAUAUUUAAGUAACAUUAAGAAUUUUCUUUGAGUGAUGAUUAUUUCCACUGCUCAAAAAUAAAACCUUUAUUUUUUUUCUUCUUUGAAUGCUU
rnacentral:lncRNA from 1 species